rnacentral:rRNA from 1 species
UGCCAGACUCCUACGGGAGGCAGCAGUGGGGAAUAUUGCACAAUGGGGGAAACCCUGAUGCAGCGACGCCGCGUGAGUGAAGAAGUAAUUCGUUAUGUAAAGCUCUAUCAGCAGGGAAGAAAAUGACGGUACCAAAGGAAUAAGCCCCGGCUAACUACGUGCCAGCAGCCGCGGUAAUACGUAGGGGGCAAGCGUUGUUCGGAAUGACUGGGCGUAAAGGGUGUGUAGGUGGUUUGAUAAGUUAGAUGUGUAAUACCCAGGGCUUAACUCGGGUGCUGCAUCUAAAACUGUUAGACUUGAGUACUGGAGAGGAUAGUGGAAUUCCUAGUGUAGCGGUGGAAUGCGUAGAUAUUAGGAGGAACAUCAGUGGCGAAGGCGACUAUCUGGACAGCAACUGACACUGAGGCACGAAAGCGUGGGGAGCAAACAGGAUUAGAUACCCCCGUA